rnacentral:rRNA from 1 species
AACGAACGCUGGCGGCAUGCCUAACACAUGCAAGUCGAACGAGACCUUCGGGUCUAGUGGCGCACGGGUGCGUAACGCGUGGGAACCUGCCCUUAGGUUCGGAAUAACUCCCCGAAAGGGGUGCUAAUACCGGAUAAUGCCUUCGGACCAAAGAUUUAUCGCCUUUGGAUGGGCCCGCGUUGGAUUAGCUAGUUGGUAGGGUAAAAGCCUACCAAGGCGACGAUCCAUAGCUGGUCUGAGAGGAUGAUCAGCCACACUGGGACUGAGACACGGCCCAGACUCCUACGGGAGGCAGCAGUGGGGAAUAUUGGACAAUGGGCGAAAGUCUGAUACAGCAAUGCCGCGUGAGUGAUGAAGGCCUUAGGGUUGUAAAGCUCUUUUACCCGGGAUGAUAAUGACAGUACCGGGAGAAUAAGCUCCGGCUAACUCCGUG